GGCAGCUGAGGCGGCCCCGGGGUCCGGGCCGGGCUGGCGGGUCCCCGGGCCGGGGUGUCGCCCGCGCCCUCCUCCGAGCCCCGCCAGGGGACAGAGACCCCACAAACAAGCAACAAGCACCCGAAACUGCCCCCGAGCCACCAGCCCGCUCUGCCGCGGCGGCUCCUCCGGGGGGCGUCAGCGUGCAGAGGUCAUGUCUCCCUCAGCGGGUUUCCCCCAAGGCGUCCCCGAUGUGGGGCUCAUCUCAAUGGCAUCUUUCCCAGUACCACUUCCAGGCCCUAGACGCUGUUUGUGCUGGAGACUGCGUUAACAAGUGUGUAACAAACCAGAGUCCUUGACCUGAGGAAUCUCACUGCUCUGCCUUGUGGAAGGAUUUCUGAUGGAAGGCAACAGAAUUUCAGUCCAUGUAUAGAAGUAUGUUUUUGUGGACAGUUUAGAAUUGGUGGCAGAAUGAAGGUACUUAUUCUUCCUGGGAAAUUGCACCUCUCCUUGGCAUGGCUAAACACAGGAUGGAAUCCUGACGCAAAUUAUUCCCGCCAAUACAUCUCCGAGUGCUGGGUGCUGAAUGAGGAAUGGGAAAGGCUUCUUUAUUGGGUAAAGUGAAAUGCCCUGCCUUAGUCACCCAAAAGAUUCAGUUUGGGGUAGCAGAGAGGAGGGGGAGCAAGGACCUCACACAAGAACUGACCUAAACUCUGAGGAGAAAAACUGCUCACCAGUCUUGUGGUUUGUGGAUGAGGAUCAGAACCCAUUGCUCUGUCCAUGGGAGGGAAGGCACUGAUCACUGGAAUUUGGAAAUGUGUUGAGAGGACCCUGACACAAACAGGAGUUUAGCCCAGAAGCAAGCCCUGGAGGAUGGAAGCACAGCCCUGCAAAGGCUGAGCUAUAGCUGAGCUAUAGCUGAGGCAGGGAGGGGGAGGAGGAACAUUGAAGUGCUGCCUGUUUGGCUCCCCCUGCUCCCAUUUCUGCUCUGGGAACACAACCUAAGGCGGAUCCCCUGCUGAUAUGGAGGUCACACAGUUUAUUUCUGUCACACUCACGUGGUCUUGCCAAUACCAGGGGAGCAUGAAUCAGAAGGUUAUUUUAAAACCAAAAAUAUAUGUGUCGCUUUGUAUUAUACAGCAUCGAAGGACCACUCAGGAUCAGGGCUUCACCUAUCACAUGCUGAAUCUGUUACAAGUGGAACAUGUGUUGUGUUGUUGAUCCUCUGAGAAAUUUCAACCCAAGAUGCAACGAGCUGUGGAAGGAGAAGGGAGGGUAAAGGAGCAGAAGUGUUGGGUGGUCUGCACAAUGCUGGAAAGGAGGCAGAAGGCAAUAUGCUAAAAACUGUCACUUAGAACUAUUUAGGCAAGUAACUGAAAGACUUGGAACAGCGGAAAAGACCUUCUUUGUUUAACCAAACACUAAAGACAUCUGAAAGAUCUGGAGUUGAUGUGGGGCUGGGGUGGGAGGAGGCAGGACAGGCAGGUGAGCAGAUUAAUGGCAUUGUUGCAGCUUGCCCAUAUGGUGUUUGGGUUCUUUAUUUCCUCAGCUAUGUUUAUCUGGUGGGAUAUUGUUGAUACAAGCUUGAUCUGGAAAAAUAAAAUCAACCUAUUUGAAAAGGUCAGCUUCAUGAGAACUGUUUUUCAGGGCUGGUGAGCUGUGUGUGGAGGUGUGACUGGCAGCAGUUGGGAUGGCCAAAGGGAUUGGAGAUGAAGAGACACCUCAUGCUGAGGAUGUAAAUGGGGAGGAGAGAGAAUGAAACCAGUUUGCCAUAUGAUGCAAAAAUGUCUUUCUCUCUUUGUCACAUCUUUCAACUAUUAAAGGCAAUAUUAUUCUCUC